UAUUGAAACAUUAGAAGAAGGAACAUAAGAAAUAUAAAAACAUUUUGAAUUAUUCAAGAAGCCGCAACAUCGACAUAGCAGAGCGUCCCUUCUGUUGGUUCAUUAGUGCUGACUCGGCACAGCUCACCAGCCGAGAGUCUAAUUAGAUAACAAAUUAACAUCUUGACAUCGCCUGCAGCGCGCUCAUCAACGGAUUCCUUUGCGUUUCGUAUUUGGAAAACGCUUUUGCAAACUGAUCCAAUUCUGUUUGUGCUAUAGCUUUAAUUGCGAGUCUUCGCGAAGGCUGAAUGUUUAAAUAGGUCAACUCAAACAUUCAGUCGUUCGGUUUAACGUCUUUGAUCCUGUAAAUGUCUCUUGUGUGCAUUACAAUGUCAAUUGUUCGGAAACUGAUGUUUUUGUGUCGUUUUCAUGUCUUUAAAUUUAUACGAGAACAAACAAGUAAGAAAAAACCGAAACAGAAAUGAGAUUGAGUAAUGUAAUGUAAUCGUUUUUUCUUUUCUUUUUUAUCUUAAAUCGAAUAUUUUAUAGAUCUAUGUAAUAAAUAAAACAUUAUUAACCAAAAUAUAGCUACUCAUGAUCCUCUGUUAUCUUAAACAAUACAGUGAUAAUAUAAUAUAUUUGAUAUAAAAUUUA